UAUUUCUCACAGUUUGUCCUUCCCUUCCUACUCUUGUCAUGUUCACUGUGGGAAAAGUAUAUGAUGCCAUCUCCCUAACUUUAGGUUUGGUCAUGUGACUUGCUUUGACCAAUGGGACUUGGGGGGAAGGAACAGUCUUCCAGUUUUGAGCAGAAGUUUUAAAAGGCAUGCUGUGUUCCCACUUAUCCCCUUGUAUCCCUGCCUUUCAGCAUGAAAAACACAGAAUGAGAGACACAGAGCACAGAUCUCAACCAGAGCCAAGCCUAAGCCAGAUAUGUCACAUUUAUGCUGCAUAUCUCAAGGCAGAAAUAUCUAUUUAUUGUUGUAAGCCUCGGAGGUUUGGAGGAAUGCUUCACUGCUGCAGCAAAAGUUGACUGGUGAAAAUGGAGACAGCAGAUUAUAAACCCCUUGAAAAAAGAAAGAAGCUGUGUCUAUGACAACUACAUAGCUGCUACGGAACCUGGCACAGUGCUAGCACACAGCAGGGGAUCAAUAAAUGUUGCUUGACUGACUAACAAAAAAGUGAACAUUAAAUGAAGACAGUCAGGUGAAAUUAAAUUCCUCCUUAUCCUUUUGGUGUUCGUUCUUAUUCUUUAUAAUUCUAUUCUCCCCACCCAGGCUCCCAGGUACUCUGAAUCCUCUUGCUACCUUUUCUCUGCUCCAGCCUUUCCCUUCCCCUCUUCCUAUCUCACUUCCCCUCUUCCUAUCUCACCUCCCCUCUUCCUAUCUCACCUGCUUGACAGUUUACCCACAUGAGCCUAUUCCUUCAGGAAGGUGAUGGGAGUAAGAACAGAACAGCUAAUCUUGUAAAAGAACUCCAACUCAGGAAACCAUCAUUUGAUGACAACUUCUAUUGAGUAACAUCCACCUUAGAGAGGUACCUAUUCUGAUGCUGGGUAGUAAAGGCCAGUAGAAGCCAGAUCUCAC
rnacentral:lncRNA from 1 species